rnacentral:rRNA from 1 species
CAGCAGCCGCGGUAAUACGAGGGGUGCAAGCGUUAUUCGGAUUGAUUGGGUGUAAAGGGUGUGCAGACGGCUUAUUAAGUCACUUGUUAAAUUCUUCGGCCUAACUGAAGGUCUGCAAGUGAUACUGAUGAGCUAGAGGGUGGAAGAGAGAAGUGGAAUUCUCGGAGUAGCGGUAAAAUGCGUAGAUCUCGAGAGGAACACCAAUGGCGAAGGCAGCUUCUUGGUCCAUUCCUGACGUUCAUACACGAAAGCGUGGGGAGCAAACAGGAUUAGAUACCCCCGUAGUCCCUGUCUCUUAUAA